rnacentral:rRNA from 1 species
GACGAACGCUGGCGGCGUGCUUAACACAUGCAAGUCGAACGGAAAGGCCCGGCGUUUGUUGGUUUCUCGUUUGGCGAACGGGGGAGUAACACGUGAGUAACCUGCCCUUAACUGUGUGGUAACUUCAGGAAACUGGGGCUCUUACCGGGGAUGAUCUCCUGCUGCAUGUUGGUGGUUGGAAAAUUUCGGCGGUGGGGGAUGUAUUCGCUGCUUAUCAGCUUGUUUGUGUGGUAGUUGCUUACCAGGGCUUUGACGGGUAGCCGGCCUGAGAGGGUUAACGGCCACAUUGGGCCUGAGAUACGGCGCAGAAUGCUACGGGCGGCAGUAGUGGGGAAUAUUGCAGAACGGGCGGAAGUCUGAUGUAGAAACGCCGCGUGCGGGAUGCUGGCUUUCGGGUUGUAAACAGAUUUCGCAUGUGCCGAAGAGUGAGUGACGGUAAUGGGUCAAGAAGCAACGGCUAACUACGUG